UUCCAGGAAAAAUUGAAUUCAAACCCUAGAAACAACAUCAAUAUUCAGCAAACAAUGAACUCAAACCCUAGAUUCGAAAUCGAUCAUCAAACCCAAAGGAAUCUUAUUCCUCUGUAAUCAAACUCAGAGUAAUCAGAAUUCAGAGAAAUUGAAGUUAGAGCAAUCAAAACUCAGAGGUUGUUUCCUAGAUUAAGCGUUCAACUCGUCUUCUCCAAUCACACUCGUCAAUCCUAAUAUCCAAGAACCCAUAAACCACUGUGAACCUUAACCCAUAACCCGUAAAUCAUCUUCUCUCCAAGAACCUUAAUCCAAUAACCCACGCAUUUAACCGUCGGUAGUCUCGUUCGUCGCCGCACUCUCACAACUCAAACUGCUGUCAUUAAGGUAUAUGAUCAAAAGUCUAAAAGGCAUGUCGAAUAACUAAUUGUAAAAAAAAGUUUGUGGUUAAUGACAGGUAUUUUGUCAUUCAAAAUAGCUCUUAGUCUAAUAGGUAUAGUAUAAUUUUUUGGCUUGAACUGAUCAGAUGCAAGCUAUCAAAAGCAUUAGUACUGAAGGCAAUCUGUGCAAAUCUCUAAGAGACCAUAGAGCCAUAAAUUUAUUAAACUCCAGACAUAUGAAAACAAGUAUAUGCCAACAAUGGUGGUUGUUGGUAAGAUAAAAGCUGCCAACAUUAUGUAUGUAAGGUUAUCAAUGGUGUCUUUCACGGGUGCUUCUACUUCUACUCUUCAAUUGAAGGAUCAAGGAUGUGAUUUUUGGGUUAUCCAUAAUGGUGUCUUUUUAUCUUUAGUUAGUUUUGUGAUGUUUCCAUCUCAUUGUUUAGGAAUGCUUUUAUAUGCUUUGUAAUUCUUAUAUUGAUUAGUUUAAAUGUAAAUUGUAUUUGGAUUUGAAGA